GAUAUUAUCGCCACUAUCGGCACAGCUCUGGCGUUCACAACAAAAUAUACACAAAUUAAAUUGUUUAAGCCGAAUUUUCGAUUGGAUUCCACGGCGACUAGAUGAGCUCCACGCGUCCGUUUUGCUUCGUUUGCGGCAAGGAGAAGUCCGUGGGGGUGUUUCAGCUGAUAGAAGGCUGCAUUGUGCCAGGAACCUUUAAGCCCAUCAAGGAUAUACUGAAAUACUUCGAGAAGAUCAUAAACCAGCGGCUAGAGCUCCUGCCCAACUCGGCUGCCUGCCGGGACUGCCUGGAGUAUCUCUUCAACUAUGACAGGCUGGUGAGGAAUCUCAGCCAAGUGCAGCGCCAGAUUGCGGACGCACUGCUCGGCUGCAGGCAGGUGGAGGGCAAGGCGGAGGCCAAGCAACAGGCGGCGAAGAGGGCCCGCGUCCAGGUGCCGGCCUUCAAGAUCGUCCAAGCCACCGCCCUCAAGGAGCCCGAAAGUCAGCCGGGCGAGGGGGAUGAGUGCGAGGAGUUCAUGAAGGAGGAAAUGCUGGACGAGGAGUUCCAGUUCAGCGAGCCGGACGACAGCAUGCCGUCGUCGGAGGAAGAGUUCUUCACCGAGACCACCGAGAUACCCUGCCAUAUCUGCGGCGAGAUGUUCUCCAGCCAGGAGGUGCUCGAGCGGCACAUCAAGGCGGACACCUGCCAGAAGAGCGAGCACGCCACCUGCAACGUGUGUGGCUUGAAAGUCAAGGACGAUGAGGUACUCGAUCUGCACAUGAACUUGCACGAGGGCAAAACAGAACUCGAGUGCCGCUACUGCGACAAAAAGUUCUCCCACAAGCGGAACGUCCUGCGCCACAUGGAGGUGCACUGGGACAAGAAGAAGUACCAGUGCGAUAAGUGCGGCGAACGCUUCUCGCUCUCCUGGCUGAUGUACAACCAUCUGAUGCGCCACGACGCCGAGGAGAACGCCCUGAUCUGCGAAGUAUGCCACCAGCAGUUCAAGACCAAGCGCACCUACAAGCACCACUUGCGCACCCACCAGACGGACCGGCCGCGCUACCCCUGCCCCGACUGCGAGAAGUCGUUCGUGGACAAGUACACCCUGAAGGUGCACAAGCGUGUCCAUCAGCCGGUCGAGAAGCCGGAGUCGGCGGAGGCCAAUGAAGCCACCGUCAGGUUCUUUUAGGGUAGUCCCUUGCUAGAUUAAUCUAAGAAGCCCAGCUCAUGGGUGCAUUAGCGCGCGAACCCCAGCAGGUAAAGUCGCGGAUUUCGCGAAUUUCCGCGGGCAUGGCAAUAAAACAGGCAGAUGUUUUUUAAUCCCCAAAAUAGGUCCUUUCUACCUGUGCGCUUGGCAUAGUAUAUAAAGGUGUCCCGUCGUCUGCCACAACUUA